GACGAACGCUGGCGGCGUGCCUAAUACAUGCAAGUCGAACGAACCGCGACUAGGUGCUUGCACUUGGUCAAGGUGAGUGGCGAACGGGUGAGUAACACGUGGGUAACCUACCUCAUAGUGGGGGAUAACAGUCGGAAACGACUGCUAAUACCGCAUAGGACAUAGGAUCACAUGAUCCAGUGAGGAAAGGUGGCGCAAGCUAUCGCUAAGAGAUGGACCCGCGGUGCAUUAGCUAGUUGGUAGGGUAAAGGCCUACCAAGGCGAGGAUGCAUAGCCGACCUGAGAGGGUGAUCGGCCACAUUGGGACUGAGACACGGCCCAAACUCCUACGGGAGGCAGCAGUAGGGAAUCUUCCGCAAUGGACGCAAGUCUGACGGAGCAACGCCGCGUGAGUGAAGAAGGUCUUCGGAUCGUAAAGCUCUGUUGUUAGAGAAGAACAGCGCAUAGAGUAACUGUUAUGCGUGUGACGGUAUCUAACCAGAAAGCCACGGCUAACUACGUG
rnacentral:rRNA from 1 species